AGCUCGAUGAGUAGGGCGGGACACGUGGUAUCCUGUCUGAAUAUGGGGGGACCAUCCUCCAAGGCUAAAUACUCCUGACUGACCGAUAGUGAACCAGUACCGUGAGGGAAAGGCGAAAAGAACCCCGGCGAGGGGAGUGAAAAAGAACCUGAAACCGUGUACGUACAAGCAGUGGGAGCCCCACCACUAAGCCAGUGGUGAACUCCACAUACGCAUCCUUUGCUGAGGAUACGGUUAACGGAGCGAAAGCGACGUUCAACCGCAAAAGAAGCAGAGGGGGCUUAGUGGUGGGGUGACUGCGUACCUUUUGUAUAAUGGGUCAGCGACUUAUAUUCUGUAGCAAGGUUAACCGAAUAGGGGAGCCGGAGGGAAACCGAGUCUUAACCGGGCGUUAAGUUGCAGGGUAUAGACCCGAAACCCGGUGAUCUAGCCAUGGGCAGGUUGAAGGUUGGGUAACACUAACUGGAGGACCGAACCGACUAAUGUUGAAAAAUUAGCGGAUGACCUGUGGCUGGGGGUGAAAGGCCAAUCAAACCGGGAGAUAGCUGGUUCUCCCCGAAAGCUAUUUAGGUAGCGCCUCGUGAAUUCAUCUCCGGGGGUAGAGCACUGUUUCGGCUAGGGGGCCAUCCCGGCUUACCAACCCGAUGCAAACUGCGAAUACCGGAGAAUGUUAUCACGGGAGACACACGGCGGGUGCUAACGUCCGUCGUGAAGAGGGAAACAACCCAGACCGCCAGCUAAGGUCCCAAAGUCAUGGUUAAGUGGGAAACGAUGUGGGAAGGCCCAGACAGCCAGGAUGUUGGCUUAGAAGCAGCCAUCAUUUAAAGAAAGCGUAAUAGCUCACUGGUCGAGUCGGCCUGCGCGGAAGAUGUAACGGGGCUAAACCAUGCACCGAAGCUGCGGCAGCGAACGUAUCACUUAA
rnacentral:rRNA from 1 species